GAAUCUCUUUAGAGAUAAAACAGGAGAAUAGACACGAGAAUUCAGGAUGGGGAAGAGCUCUGAUCAGCGUCCGGGAAGAUUUCCUCGAGGAGGUGGUAACCAAGAAGGAUGCUGGGAGAAGAGGGGUAUGCUGAGAGAAAAUGAGGCGCCAGGCAGUAUGGACCAAGGCCCGGAGAGACUGACACGAGGAGGUUACUCACUCAAUCUGAACGGGAGGAAGGACCUAGACCAGAAGAGUGAGGGACGGCUCCUCGGGGUCACGUGGGAAGGGAGUGUGAGUGUGUGUGUGUGUGGGGGCUCUGCCUUCAGAUUCCUUUAGAUCUUUUCCUACCACGCCCCCAAAAGCUCCAUCUCUCCGAAUGCGGAGCACUCAAAGGACUGUGAGACUCUCUAGCACACUUCAAUCUCAGGCAGCAGCUCCUCCCUUUCUCCCUGCUCCCCAACCAGCUCCAGGUGCUCUGCACCCCUGCCGUCGGUCUCAGCCUGCGCCUGGCGUUGCUUAGGACUUUCAGUUCACCACAUCCCAGGUGGGCUUAAAACACCGAAGGAGAAAGCGGCCACAGGAAAGUAAGGAAGAGACAGAGGACCGUCUGGAAGUGAUAGAACAGGAAAGAACCUUUAAUUACUCCCAGGAGUGUGGAAAUUUGUCCCAGUGCCCGCAAGUCCUUCUGGGAAUGGUAGUCUGGGAGCUGCGGUGCCUUCUGCGCAUGCCUGAACUCUGGCGAACCACAGUCAAGCAGCUUUUGUAAACACCUCCAUGUGUUCUGAGAUGUGUCCUGUGAGAUGAGGAGGAUCGAAAGGAUAAACAUUUUUCUGGAGAAGAAAAGGACGAGGCCCUAGUGAAUGCCCAGAGAGCGAAAAAGCAGUUCAACAAAUAUGCCAGAGGAGAGACGUGAUGACUCGGUCUCUAGUCUCCUUGUCUGUAUCAACACGGUUGAAAAUCUCAUGUCCUGCAGAUUCAGUCAGACUGUAAGCACUAGCUACUUACAGGACCCCAGACUUCUCAGUUAUAGUAUAUCCAGCCUGAACUUUGGGCUCUCUGCUCAGUUUGGUGGCAAUGGGUCUGGGAUAGAUUUAUUCCUCAUAAUCAGCAACGUGGAGGCUAAAUGUCAGCAGGGCAAUCAAUAUCCUCACAAGGUACCCAACACUGUACAUAAAGCUCAGGGGAACAGAAGCUUUCUUCAAGGUCCCCUAGGGAAAAUAAGUUACUGCUUCAUAUUUUGGACUGAGCUCAGCUGGGAGUCCAUGCCACUGAAAGGAAAAAAUUUUUAUUGCUUUUAUAUUAUUGAUCAUAAAACUAACGAUCAUAUAUAA
rnacentral:lncRNA from 1 species